GGUAUUACACGUGUGUGGCUGAGAAUGAACACCAGAGAGACACGUGUGAGAUCUGCCUACCCAAUGACGGGAGACGGUUGUGGCUGGAACUCUACAUUGGAUUACCCAUAUUGGCUAUUGUCCUCCUUGUGAUGGUAUUUGCUCUCAUGUCUUUGAAAAAAGGUUCACAGCAGCGUGCGUGUUGUGUUGAUGCCAGCGUGGCCAAUGGUCGUAAACCACAAGGAUCAGAGCCAGGUUCACAGGAGCCUGAAGGGGAUCCUAUUUACAGUGUUGUUGAUUUAAACAAAGAGACAAGAAACAGGGCAGCCACCCAGGCAGUCCCAACUCCGGGA